CGUAGGGUGCUAGCGUUGUUCGGAAUCAUUGGGCGUAAAGCGUGCGCAGGCGGUUUUGUAAGACAGAUGUGAAAUCCCCGGGCUCAACCUGGGACCUGCAUUUGUGACUGCAAGGCUAGAGUACGGUAGAGGGGGAUGGAAUUCCGCGUGUAGCAGUGAAAUGCGUAGAUAUGCGGAGGAACACCGAUGGCGAAGGCAAUCCCCUGGACCUGUACUGACGCUCAUGCACGAAAGCGUGGGGAGCAAACAGGAUUAGAUACCCUGGUAGUCCACGCCCCAAACGAUGUCAACUGGUUGUUGGGUCUUUACUGACUCAGUAACGAAGCUAACGCGUGAAGUUGACCGCCUGGGGAGUACGGCCGCAAGGUUG
rnacentral:rRNA from 1 species